UUGACUGCUUGUUCUGCAUUCCUGGUAGGUGUAGCAGCAGAUUGGCAAGUUGACGUAACAACUAUUUGCGAAUCUACAUGCGAUCUGAUGUUACUAAGGUAACUGAAAUGCACAGCAAUCUCCUCGGAAGUCCCGUAGAAGAUAAAGUGGUCAGCGCUGCUGUACUUUGAAAAUGUCAGCCCUGUUUUUUAUAGAAUAUUCCUGACUGGCUGAAAUGUUACACAAGCAAAAUUGAUUCUUUGGUUUUACUUCUUCAAUUGAAGCCACUUCCAGGAGCGAGGCCCAGGACGGAGCCUGGACACCAAUCCUGCAGCCUCCCAGUCUCAGGCCAGCCUUGGAGCAGCACAGCUCCCUGUUAGGUAGGAUUUGUGCCGUGGUCACUGGGAGGAGAAAGAAAUAUCCUAGUGCGAAUAGUAAGGUCCUCAGCUGUCAAAGCUUUACUUAGGCCCCACACAACUGAAAAAGACAUCAGGUGAAAUGAAUCAGAGUCUUCAUCUUUAAAAUGGGUUUUAUGCUUGAUGUCAUGCAGGUACCAGUGGGAAGGGGAUGAUUCUUGCCUUUGCCACAAGAACAGUAACAAAGGUGUCGUUAAACUUGGCUCAUAAUUUAUUUAAAUGAUGUUGACAGGAAGAAAAAAAAAGCUGCCACUUUGGGGAUGUAUACCUGGCGGUGGUACAGGGGGUGAGGGAGCUCACAGCAGCAGGGCCAGGCAAAAAAUAAACAAACAGACAAAUAAAUAAAUAAACCUCAGCUGUUCAUGAGCUCAUUAACGGUUCCUGCUGCCUUCUCAGACUGCCAGCCCAGGGCAGCAGGCCUCGGUGGGCAGUGAAGUUGUGUUUUGUGAGGGGAGUUGCACAGAGGCACCCAGAUAGGCCUGGCCAGGCUGCCAGCCGGCGGGGCCUUUCGGGUCCCCUGCCUGGGUUGUGUUCCCUCAUUGUGAAGUUUGCUGAGCAAAUUGGAUGGCUCAUAGGUUUUGAACGCCAAUAGGAUGAGCCCUACGAAACGUGAAAAAAAAAUAAGUCCACAGACUCGGCUGUAAUGAGAAUCCUGGUGUGCCAAGAUUUUUUGACAUAACUCUGCCCAGAUAGACGGCGUCUGCUCUGAAGACAUUGCCUCUUGCAGGUGAACAGGAAGAAAAUUAUGACUCAGAGAGAUGUGUUUGAGGCACACUGAUUCUCAAGACAUCCCUGAGGACAGGGUAAUUAAGCACCGGUGUAGGUCUUCUCAUAAAACCAUGGUGCAGCUGCUAAUGUAGUGGGCCCUGUUCUUCUCUCACCUGGAGAACCACUGUAGCGUUUGCCCCAGUUGAAUGAAGUUAAUUCUGGUGAAACUGAUUUUUUCUUCAUAAAAACUAUUGAUAGCUUACAUAAUUUUUGAACUAAAUUAUGCAAUUACUUUAAUAUUCCUUUCUCUAUUUCAUUUACCAUUUAGCAGAUGGGAUGCAAAGAAAAUUUCAUCAGGUUAAAAGAGAAAAUUGUGUCCCUGAUCAAUGUUUAUCUUUCUGUUUUAUUUUAAAAUUAUCUCUAGUGUCUUGGCUCUCAAAAGCAGAUGGGCUGUAGGCUUGCUGUAAAUCAACCUUAAAGUAGCUGUCUCUUAACACGUCCGGUUGUAAAAUGAAAGGUGCGACUGGAAUCAUAGGGAGUCCAUGGUGCAUCUGUUGUUUUUUACAGUCAUUUCAUUGUUAUUUUUUCACAUCACUGUUUAUAAUUUCAAUGUGACUUAAUUUUGCUUUCUUGGAAACUGAAAAUGUGGUCCUGUGUUCUUUGUGAAGUAUUUCACUCAGUAUAUUCCUGUCACUGCUUCUGUUGUGCUGCCUGGAUGCAGUCGUUACCUGCUGCCUUUAUCUGAAGCUCUUGUGAUUCUACCUUUUGCCCACCAUGCAUUGUUCACAUUGUCAUGCCUCAGUAGCAAACAGAUGAUAUCCCAAAUAAAUCAGCAAAUUGCCUCAUAUUUCAUAAUGCCAAAAGAUGACAGCGCCAGUACAACACAGGACACAAAAAUCUGAAGAUUCCACUAGAGCUGUUCCCUAACUUUUUUUAUGGUUUUACCAAUUUUAGUAGUUUUAUUGUUAUUAUUAUUUGUCAAUUUGUAAUACAUUACUGCCCUCAUUUUUGUCACCCUGUUUAUAGCUCUUUAUGUAGCAGUAAAAUACUUUCUAUAACUUCCAGUCUAAAAAACAGGCUAGGAAAGGAAAAAGCAAGCUGCAGAUGGAUUACAUGAAUAACUUGGGACAGAACAGUCUGUGAGUUGUACGAAGUUUUCUAGCUCUUCAUUUUGCCAGGAGCUCCUAAUUUGAUGAUCUGUUAGAGUAAAAGAACUGUAUAUAGAAAUUUCGUUGAAGUGAGUAAGAGCUUUCUCUGUUUCCAACAGACAGGAUGUAAUCUGUAGACUGUACUAAUUUUUUUGUUUUGGUUUUCUUCCCGUGCCUUUGGAUCAACUUUGA